GGGUCUUUCAAAGAUAUGCUUUUUCCAAAAAAUUAUGGAGUCACAUUUUAGGGUUUUUCUUUCUUGUUUUAUUUUCCCUUUAAAAUAAAAAUAAAAUAAGUGGUGACUCCGACUUUUUUUUUCCAAAAUUAAUUUUUCACCAAUAAAAAGUGAGUCUCGAUUGAGUGGGGGCACACGUGAAAAAUGCGGGUCCACAAAUUC
rnacentral:lncRNA from 1 species